rnacentral:tmRNA from 1 species
GGGGGUGAACGGUUUCGACAUCGGACGUCGAAGCAGGGGAAGCGGGCCGAGGAAGCUGUGAUGAUCUCGUUAACCAUACGCAGCAAAAAAACAAAUGCCAAUCAGAAGAUGGCCCGGGCGAACUUCGCCCUCGUUGCCUGAUCUAGCGAUCACGUAACGGGCGGAUAGCCCUGUCGGUCCAGGAUCGCCCCCGGCCUGGAAUCCGGCAUCGCUAGGGGGCUCAACCUCAGGAUCAGGUCACGGGAGACUGAGGGAAAUCCACGUGGCUGGGCUCGUCGCAGACUCGUCUCAGGGAUCUGCGGAGCCGAGAAAAGCGCACUGAGACUACGCCCGUAGAAGCCCUGUUGCCUCGCCGAUGGACCCGGGUUCGAUUCCCGGCACCUCCACUG